ACGCUCGACACCUACGGGGGCAGCAGUGAGGAAUAUUGGUCAAUGGGCGCUAGCCUGAACCAGCCAAGUAGCGUGAAGGAUGAAGGCUCUAUGGGUCGUAAACUUCUUUUAUAUAAGAAUAAAGUGCAGUAUGUAUACUGUUUUGUAUGUAUUAUAUGAAUAAGGAUCGGCUAACUCCGUGCCAGCAGCUGCGGUAAUCUGAGCGGGCUGGCAAGGC
rnacentral:rRNA from 1 species